rnacentral:rRNA from 1 species
AUUGAACGCUGGCGGCAGGCCUAACACAUGCAAGUCGAGCGGAUGAAGGGAGCUUGCUCCUGGAUUCAGCGGCGGACGGGUGAGUAAUGCCUAGGAAUCUGCCUGGUAGUGGGGGAUAACGUCCGGAAACGGGCGCUAAUACCGCAUACGUCCUGAGGGAGAAAGUGGGGGAUCUUCGGACCUCACGCUAUCAGAUGAGCCUAGGUCGGAUUAGCUAGUUGGUGGGGUAAAGGCCUACCAAGGCGACGAUCCUUAACUGGUCUGAGAGGAUGAUCAGUCACACUGGAACUGAGACACGGUCCAGACUCCUACGGGAGGCAGCAGUGGGGAAUAUUGGACAAUGGGCGAAAGCCUGAUCCAGCCAUGCCGCGUGUGUGAAGAAGGUCUUCGGAUUGUAAAGCACUUUAAGUUGGGAGGAAGGGCAGUAAGUUAAUACCUUGCUGUUUUGACGUUACCAACAGAAUAAGCACCGGCUAACUUCGUG